GCCCCAGACUCCUACGGGAGGCAGCAGUGGGGAAUAUUGCACAAUGGGGGAAACCCUGAUGCAGCAACGCCGCGUGAAGGAAGACGGUUUUCGGAUUGUAAACUUCUAUCAAUAGGGAAGAAAGAAAUGACGGUACCUAAAUAAGAAGCCCCGGCUAACUACGUGCCAGCAGCCGCGGUAAUACGUAAGGGGCAAGCGUUAUCCGGAUUUACUGGGUGUAAAGGGAGCGUAGACGGCAGCGCAAGUCUGAAGUGAAAUCCCAUGGCUUAACCAUGGAACUGCUUUGGAAACUGUGCAGCUGGAGUGCAGGAGAGGUAAGCGGAAUUCCUAGUGUAGCGGUGAAAUGCGUAGAUAUUAGGAGGAACAUCGGUGGCGAAAGCGCUUUACUGGGCCGUUAUUGACGCUGAGGAACGAAAGCCAGGGUAGCAAACGGGAUUAGAUACCCGUGUA
rnacentral:rRNA from 1 species